rnacentral:rRNA from 1 species
CCUACGGGAGGCAGCAGUGGGGAAUAUUGGACAAUGGGGGAAACCCUGAUGCAGCGACGCCGCGUGAGUGAAGAAGUCUUUAGGUAUGUAAAGCUCUAUUAGCAGGGAAGAAAAUGACGAUACGUGAUUAAGAAGCACAGGCUAACUACGUGACAGCAGCCGCGGUAAUACGUAGGGGGCGAGCGUUAAUCGGAAUUACUGGGCGUAAAGCGGUCGUAGGCGGUAUGACAAGUCAAGGGUGAAAUCCCCGCGCUCAACGUGGGAACUGCCUUUGAAACUGGCAAACUGGAGUGUGUGCGAGGAUAGUGGAAUGCCAGGUGUAGGAGUGAAAUGCGUAGAUAUCUGGAAGAACAUCAAUGGCGAAGGCGACUAUCUGGCACAUAACUGACGCUGAGGAGCGAAAGCGUGGGGAGCAAACAGGAUUAGAUACCCGAGUAGUC